UCGGUCUCUCUCUCUCUGUCUCUCUCUGUCUCUCUCUCUGUCUCUCUCUCUCUGUCUCUGUCUCUGAAAAUGUAACUUCCUGUUGCGAGGAUGUAAGGACGAUGGUCCUACUUUAAAAGGGCUUGGAUAAUAACCUAACAAAAUUAGCAUUGUAUUCAAUGUGACGCUCGACACGCUGAAAGGAUUCAUUUCGACUAUACCAGCCAGAAUAUAGCAUGAGCUUAAAAGUAUGGCAACUUGGUAUGAACUUUGAACUUAUUCACUAAAGAAGCGAUACCCUCUCCAACUUCUAAACGUGGGCUAGGAGAGGACGGACAGAGUAUCCAUUCUACCACGCUCCAGUUCACCACUAGACAUUCUUCAGAGGACAAGAGAUCCAUGCUAGACCACCCGGCCCUCCAUCUACGAACAACCGAUCGAAGUGCAGCUCAGAAUAUGAAUGCCAUUUUGGACAUGCGGGACAAAUCUAGCGAGACCAACUGCAAUCCACACACAACCAUGGGUCUCCAGUAUAUACUCUCUGAUUACAACCUCAUUGAUGCCUGGGGAUUGGGGCUAAUGAACCAAUGAACUGCUGUCACCAGAUAGAUGCCCAAGCCUCAAAACCAGAAACACGGGGGAGACUUCAACACUUGUAAUUUUUAAAUAAAUGUUACAUUUUUUA